rnacentral:rRNA from 1 species
UUUCCGGUUGAUCCUGCCGGACCACACUGCUAUCGGGAUGGGAUUAAGACAUGUUAGUCGUGCGCCUUCUAGCUACGAUGGAGGCGCGGCACACAGCUCAGUAACACGUGGCUAACCUGCCCUUGGGACGGGAACAACCCCGGGAAACUGGGGCUAAUUUCCGAUAGGUGAAGCUUCCUGGAAUGGAUUUUCGCUCAAAGGGCACCUGAGUCAUGCUUUGGGUGCUGCCCAAGGAUGGGGCCGCGGCCGAUCAGGUUGUUGGUGAGGUAACGGCUCACCAAGCCUAUAACCGGUUCGGGCCGUGGGAGCGGUAGCCCGGAGAUGGGAACUGAGACAAGGUCCCAGGCCCUACGGGGCGCAGCAGUCGCGAAAACUUCGCAAUAAGCGAAAGCUUGACGAGGCUAUCCCGAGUGCCAUCCGCUGAGGAUGGCUUUUACCCAGUGUAGAUAGCUGGGGGAAUAAGGAGAGGGCAAGUCUGGUGUCAGCCGCCGCGGUAAUACCAGCUCUCCGAGUGGUGUGGACGUUUAUUGGGCCUGAAGCAUCCGUAGCUGGCUGGACAAGUCCUCUGUUAAACCCAGCGAUUCAAUCGUUGGCUUGCGGGGGAUACUGUUCGGCUAGGAGGCGGGAGAGGCCGUCGGUAUUCUCGGGGUAGGGGUGAGAUCCUAUAAUCCCGGGAGGACCACCAGUGGCGAAGGCUGUCGGCUAGAACGCGCUCGACGGUGAGGGAUGAAAGCUGGGGGAGCGAACCGGAUUAGAUACCCGGGUAGUCCCAGCUGUAAACGAUGCAGGCUAGGUGUUAGUGCGGCCACGUGCCGCUCUAGUGCCGCAGGGAAACCGUUAAGCCUGCCGCCUGGGGAGUACGGCCGCAAGGCUGAAACUUAAAGGAAUUGGCGGGGGAGCACCACAAGGCGUGAAGCUUGCGGUUUAAUUGGAGUCAACGCCGGA